GACGAACGCUGGCGGCGUGCCUAAUACAUGCAAGUCGAACGCUUCUUUCCUCCCGAGUGCUUGCACUCAAUUGGAAAGAGGAGUGGCGGACGGGUGAGUAACACGCGGGUAACCUACCCAUCAGAGGGGGAUAACACUUGGAAACAGGUGCUAAUACCGCAUAACAGUUUAUGCCGCAUGGCAUAAGAGUGAAAGGCGCUUUCGGGUGUCGCUGAUGGAUGGACCCGCGGUGCAUUAGCUAGUUGGUGAGGUAACGGCUCACCAAGGCCACGAUGCAUAGCCGACCUGAGAGGGUGAUCGGCCACACUGGGACUGAGACACGGCCCAGACUCCUACGGGAGGCAGCAGUAGGGAAUCUUCGGCAAUGGACGAAAGUCUGACCGAGCAACGCCGCGUGAGUGAAGAAGGUUUUCGGAUCGUAAAACUCUGUUGUUAGAGAAGAACAAGGACGUUAGUAACUGAACGUCCCCUGACGGUAUCUAACCAGAAAGCCACGGCUAACUACG
rnacentral:rRNA from 1 species